AUCCAGCUGACGAGUCCUGAUUAGGACGAGACGCGCGUCCUGGAU
rnacentral:hammerhead_ribozyme from 1 species